rnacentral:lncRNA from 1 species
GGAAGAAAAAGAAUCGUCGUGGUCCAUUAAACGUGCGAGGCGGGAAUUUGGGGCGCGGGAGUCUGCCGGACGACGCGUUUCUGUCCGAACGGCCGGACCAGACGAGCCCCCCCCCCCCACCUUGCCUCCCCUGCGGUUCUCGUUCCUUCGGGUGUCUUAUAGAGCCUUCCUGACCCCGUUGGCGGUGUUGUUGCGUCGCGGUUAAGUUUUGUGUUUAUUUUGCACUUGAAUCCCUUUUUUCAGCUCUCUGUGAAAUAAAACCUAGAAAAUACAGAAUAUGCAAAACUCGUGAAAAUUGUCAGAUUAAACCCUAGACUAAUGUGUUUUCAUGUAUUUUCUUGUGUCUAAAGUUCUAAUAAAUAUUGACGUUAUUGACCGUCAAUAAUGAAGAAUGCUCAUAUAAAAACUAUUUUUUUAUCUAAUACUACAUAAAAUAAUUUAGCCACAGUUAAUAAAUUUAUACAGUCGGUUUUGGUAACCAUAUCUACCCAGGGGCCAUUAGAAAUAUA